UUAUUUUUCUUUUUCUAGUUUCAUAGUUUAUUCUUCUUUUACUCAUAGCCGAGAGGUUUGUUAAUUUAUGAAUCUUUCAGUGCAAUUUGCUUUUCUAAUUUUUUUUAAGAAUUCGAUUUUUUAAUUCACGUUUUCUAUUAUUGUCCUCUUUCUCUUGAAACAUACAUUUUCUCUCUGUAAUUUUCUCAUGUCGAUCUUAUAUGGUUUUUUAUGUUUUAAAAAUUAUACUUGGGUUAUCUGAUGGUUUCAAAAUCAGAUUUUAAUUUCUGACUCUGCUUAUAUUUUAUUUUGAAAAUAAAUUUCAUGAUAAAGUCCAAAAAUCAUAAUUUGUUUCUUUUUUAAUAUCCUUGUUACUGUAAAAUUUU
rnacentral:lncRNA from 1 species